GACAGAGGCCUCAAGCGUUAGGCGGAAUCACUGGGCUUAAAGCGUGUGUAGGCGGAUCGUUAAGUACCUUGUGAAAUCCCACGGCUCACCCGUGGAACUGCUGGGUAUACUGGCGGUCUUGGGCCAACUAGGGGCAGCUGGAACAAGCGGUGGAGCGGUGAAAUGCGUAGAUAUCGCUUGGAACGCCGAAGGUGAAAACAGGCUGCUGGGGUUGUGCCGACGCUGAGACGCGAAAGCCAGGGGAGCGAACGGG
rnacentral:rRNA from 1 species